UACGAAGGGGGCUAGCGUUGCUCGGAAUCACUGGGCGUAAAGCGCACGUAGGCGGCUUGUUAAGUCAGGGGUGAAAUCCUGGAGCUCAACUCCAGAACUGCCUUUGAUACUGGCGAGCUUGAGUUCGGGAGAGGUGAGUGGAACUGCGAGUGUAGAGGUGAAAUUCGUAGAUAUUCGCAAGAACACCAGCGGCGAAGGCGGCUCACUGGCCCGAUACUGACGCUGAGGUGCGAAAGCGUGGGGAGCAAACAGG
rnacentral:rRNA from 1 species